rnacentral:rRNA from 2 species
CGGGGGCACGGGGGGAACGCGAAGAACCUUACCAGGUCUUGACAUACUAUGCAAAUCUAAGAGAUUAGACGUUCCCUUCGGGGACAUGGAUACAGGUGGUGCAUGGUUGUCGUCAGCUCGUGUCGUGAGAUGUUGGGUUAAGUCCCGCAACGAGCGCAACCCUUAUUAUCAGUUGCCAGCAUUAAGUUGGGCACUCUGGUGAGACUGCCGGUGACAAACCGGAGGAAGGUGGGGAUGACGUCAAAUCAUCAUGCCCCUUAUGACCUGGGCUACACACGUGCUACAAUGGAUGGUACAACGAGUUGCGAACUCGCGAGAGUAAGCUAAUCUCUUAAAGCCAUUCUCAGUUCGGAUUGUAGGCUGCAACUCGCCUACAUGAAGUCGGAAUCGCUAGUAAUCGCGGAUCAGCA